rnacentral:rRNA from 1 species
AUUGAACGCUGGCGGCAGGCCUAACACAUGCAAGUCGAACGAGUGGCGGACUGGUGAGUAAUGUCUGGGAACAUGACUGAUGGAGGGGGAUAACUGCUGGAAACGGUAGCUAAUACCGCAUACCAUGAGAUGUGCACAGAUGGGAUUAGCUGGUUGGUGGGCUAACGGCGCACCAAGGCGACGAUCCCUAGCUGGUCUGAGAGGAUGACCAGCCACACUGGAACUGAGACACGGUCCAGACUCCUACGGGAGGCAGCAGUGGGGAAUAUUGAACAAGGGGCGCAAGUCUGAUGCAGCCAUGCCGCGUGUAUGAAGAAGGCCUUCGGGUUGUAAAGUACUUUCAGCGGGGAGGCGUUACCCGCAGAAGAAGCACCGGCUAACUCCGUGCCAGCAGCCGCGGUAAUUC